AUUCACUAAUCACAAUGUGUGGAUUAAUUCUCUGUAACAACACAGCAGUUGUAUUAUAAACAAUAGGUUUAUGUUUAAUUCUCUAGUACUGUUAUUGUUUCUGAAGUAGCAGCUGAUACACAGGGACUUGUAUGGUGAAAUAUCAACAUGUUUGGAACCUAACAGCAAACAGAUGAACAGAAUGUGAUGGUGUUAUUAUUAACAAAGAGCAUGAAGAUCUCUGUUUGGAGUUUAUUUAUCAUUAACGGAAGGAGUCUCACAUCGUGGGGGUCAUGACAGACACUUGCACACCUGCUCUCUGCAAGCACCGGAGUCCCUCUCGCUCUUGACUGUCCUCCUCGUCACAGAAGUAGAGGCGUGAGACAAAGAUGCGCAGCCGCAGGUUGGGCAUCUGAGACAUGAAGCGAGAAAGGCGAUGGGCACAGUUUGAACAGGGUGACCAGGAACAGAACCAGGUGAUGGCAUAUGCUGCCCUGAUGCCAUCCACACCGGAACCCAAGAAACCCGGGCACAGUACCCCAAGAUAGCUCAGGAAGAGAAGCUCAAAGGAGGAAAAAGGAUAAUAUGUGUUAUUGAUUGUUAUUCAUAUCUAUUUUCAUCUCAUCCGUUUAGUAGCUAUACUAGUAGGAUGUUAUUAGACAAAUCCCUGAAUCCAUACAUGGGAAUUGUUUUGAUGGCGGAUGCACUGAAUAUGCCCAGGUUUGAGUAUGAUGGUGGGUUUGUAGCAGUGCCCUGACUUUAUCCUAAAAAUCUCUUUUCCUCCUGCAGUUGCAUCUGUCCAUUUACGUCUUACCUCCACGUGGCAGCCAGAGCGAUUGCGCAGGUGUCCGAAGUCAAAGGAGAGCGAAUCAGGACUGUUGCGUUUCUUAACCACAAAACAGAGGAUUGCAGGGAGCCUGGAGUCUAUCCCAGGGGCUCAGGGCACAAGGCAGUGGACGUUCUCGACAGAGUGCCAACCCAUUGGAGGGCACAAUCACAGACACACUAGACACACACAAGCAAUUUAGAGACG